rfam:Picea glauca, whole genome shotgun sequence.
AUAUAAAUUCUUACAACAUAGCGUUAAUGCAUUGGAUCUCAUUAGAACUCCACAGUUAAGCGCGCUCGAUCUAGAGUAGUACUGGGAUGGGUGACUGCUCGGGAAGUAUUAGUAUUUUACAUG